rnacentral:rRNA from 1 species
CCCUUAGAUGUUCUGGGCCGCACGCGCGCUACACUGAUGCAUUCAACGAGUCUAAAACCUGGUCUGAUAGGGCUGGGUAAUCUUUUGAAUGUGCAUCGUGAUUGGGAUAGAUGAUUGCAAUUCUUCAUCUUCAACGAGGAAUGCCUAGUAAACGCAAGUCAUCAGCUUACAUUGAUUACGUCCCUGCCCUUUGUACACACCGCCCGUCGCUCCUACCGAUUGAAUGUUCCGAUGAAUACCAUGGACUGAGAGUAUGAAUGGGUUCGCCUAUUUCUGCUUCUCGGGAAGUGGAGUAAAUCUUAACAUUUAGAGGAAGGAGAAGUCGUAACA